rnacentral:rRNA from 1 species
CUACGGGAGGCAGCAGUGAGGAAUCUUAGACAAUGGGCGCAAGCCUGAUCUAGCCAUGCCGCGUGAGCGAUGAAGGCCUUAGGGUUGUAAAGCUCUUUCAGUGGGGAAGAUAAUGACGGUACCCACAGAAGAAGCCCCGGCUAACUCCGUGCCAGCAGCCGCGGUAAUACGGAGGGGGCUAGCGUUAUUCGGAAUUACUGGGCGUAAAGCGCACGUAGGCGGAUUGGAAAGUUGGGGGUGAAAUCCCAGGGCUCAACCCUGGAACUGCCUUCAAAACUCCCAGUCUGGAGUUCGAGAGAGGUAAGUGGAAUUCCGAGUGUAGAGGUGAAAUUCGUAGAUAUUCGGAGGAACACCAGUGGCGAAGGCGGCUUACUGGCUCGAUACUGACGCUGAGGUGCGAAAGCGUGGGGAGCAAACAGGAUUAGAUACCCUUGUA